UCUUCCUUGCUUCUGCUAUCUUGGUCUUUUCUCCUCUCUGCCGCCUGUGCCGUCGAAGUUGGAAUCGCUUUUUGCUCUUCGCGAUUUGCUGCGUCUUGCGUUUCGCCAGCUUCCUCCAUGCGUGCUCGCUGCCGUUUCCUCCAUUCUCCAUGUUGACCUCCCGUAGUUUCUGUGAUUUGCUCUUGCUUGUUCUGUUUUCCUCUUCCUCGCUACGCCUCCUGUUGGAUGUGUUCGCGACUCAGUAAACAACGAUUCAGGUGCUCGACAGAAUGCUCCAGUUGUGACAUGACACAACAAGCUCUGUUGGCAAUGGAACAAUUCUUUGGCAAAGUGAAGGCUACAUCCAGAAGAUGGACUUCUAAUUGUUUUACACUUACUAUGUAUUUUUCCUGCUUGAUCAAGAUUAUUUGAUAUUAAGUCAAUUCUUUCAUUCAUUAGGUUAUGAUUUAAAAGCCAAAUUGAAAUCCUUUUGCUUUCCUAGUUUUUCCUUUUCAAGUUUAUUCAGAUUCCAUUCCAUUUAGUGUAACAUAUCUAAUUAAAUGCCCAGCUAAUCUUGUAUUCA